UCACAGCCAGAGCAGAGAGGCAGUGGAAACAAAUAUAGAAGGAAGAAUGAGAGAUGCUAUGACACAAAAUCUCUUUUCAAAACAAAGUGUGAUGCAUUCGGGUAGAACUAUUAAUAGAUUGAUUGGGCGCGCAUGAGAGAAAACAGAGCAACAACAGGUGUAGCUCUACCAGGGAAGUCUUUGUUAUUUGGUGCCAGUGGACUGGUAACCUGAAUAAAGCCACAGUGGGCGACUCCAGACACACUUCAGAGGGAGCAAACUGGGACAGCUCAUUCAAGCUGAAUCCCGGUCUACAUAUGCCCCCUACAGACUUUGGGCCAUGAUCUGGCGUGGGUGUGUGGUAUCAACUGAGAGGGGCGUGGUACCAUGAGUGACGGGAUAACAAAGAAGGGCCUGAGAGGAUUUCUGUCUGCCACUUCCAUGGAUCGUGACGCAUGAGAGUCUUGAGGGUGCCAUCAACAUUAGUCACCCGAGCAGUUAUGACCCGAGCAUAACAGCAUCCAGUUGUCAACGGUCAGUCAACUAACUGCAUUCCUCUAUCGUCUACCUGCGUCUGUCUUCAAUGCGCGCCCAUCGCUCCCUCUCCAAGACAAACAUAGUGUUGCUCACACUCACAGUGCAAACACAA